UACGUAGGGUGCGAGCGUUAAUCGGAAUUACUGGGCGUAAAGCGUGCGCAGGCGGUUUUGUAAGCCAGAUGUGAAAUCCCCGGGCUCAACCUGGGAAUGGCAUUUGGGACUGCAAGGCUGGAGUGCGGCAGAGGGGGAUGGAAUUCCGCGUGUAGCAGUGAAAUGCGUAGAUAUGCGGAGGAACACCGAUGGCGAAGGCAAUCCCCUGGGCCUACACUGACGCUCAUGCACGAAAGCGUGGGGAGCAAACAGG
rnacentral:rRNA from 1 species